rfam:Dipodomys ordii contig_56415, whole genome shotgun sequence.
GUGGCUCAGUGGUAGAGCGCUUGUCUUGCAUGCAUGAGGCCCUGGGUUCAAUUCCUCAGC